AGCACUUUAUUUAAAGUUUUAUUUUAAAUCAUACAUAUCAAUUAUAUUGAAAUAAUUGGUAGCAAUCAUAAUCAGGUCUUUAUUUCUGCUAAUAUUUUUACUUGUGAAGAAUUCUUGUACAUCUAAAAUUCGGUGUAUUAGUUAAGAAAUAUUUAUUGAAUAGAUCUACAUGUAAGGAACCACAUUUAAAACUCUAUGCAAUGAUGAAAAAGCAUAACAUAAAGUACUAACAAUUAAGAAAUUUGCACUCUGGUUGUAGGGUUAAGAUAUGCAUUGCAAUAUCUGUAGGUCAGUAGAAUGACUGUGUAAUUAACAUCAGCAAAGUUGACUGGAUAAAAGAUAGAGUCAUUCAAAAGGGAAAAACAUCCUGAUUCACUGGACCAGCUGGAGAAAGGGGAGAGCCUGAGUCACAAGUUCAAAGUGAGCUUUACAUGGUCAAAGAGGGCAUUUCAACAUAGGCAAUUGUUGUGAGC
rnacentral:lncRNA from 1 species